rnacentral:rRNA from 1 species
CGGCAACAGCUCAAAUUUGAAAUCUGGGGCCUGGCCUCCGAGUUGUAAUUUGCAGAGGGUGCCUCGGGGAGUGGACCGGCCCAAGUGCCUUGGAACAGGAUACCGAAGAGGGUGAGAGUCCCGUAUCCGGCCGGCACCGCCCCCCGUGUGAGGCCCCUUCGAC